rnacentral:rRNA from 1 species
AUUGAACGCUGGCGGCAGGCUUAACACAUGCAAGUCGAGCGAGCGGCGGACGGGUGAGUAAUGUCUGGGAAACUGCCUGAUGGAGGGGGAUAACUACUGGAAACGGUAGCUAAUACCGCAUACCAUCAGAUGUGCCCAGAUGGGAUUAGCUAGUAGGUGUGGUAAGGGCUCACCUAGGCGACGAUUCCUACCUGGGCUGCGAGGAUGACCAGCCACACUGGAACUGUGACACGUUCCAGACGCCUACGUGAGCCAGCAGUGGGGAAUAUUGCGCAUUGGGCGCAAGCCUGAUGCAGCCAGGCCGCGUGUGUGAAGAAGGCCUUCGGGUUGUAAAGCACGUUCAGCGCGGAGGCGUUACUGGCAGAAGAAGCACCGGCUAACUCCGUGCCAGCCGCCGCGGUAAUUC